rnacentral:lncRNA from 1 species
UUUUUUUUUCUUUUCUCUAUGCUCUGAACAAUUGAAAUUUAAUUGCAGCUAUCUGUUAUUUGACAUUUUGGAAGAAUUCCCCUGUGGAACCAUAUGGCAACAGCUAUUAGCAAAUUAUCUCCUGAAUGGUGAAUUGCCUGUGCAGUUCUCCAGCUCUAUAUCUGAGGUCUCAGUCAAUCAAUGGAGGAUCUGGAAAGAGAUUCAGAAGGAUGAGAAGUAUGCUCCUUUUGCAUACUAUCUGUCUUACUGCUCUGGACUUCAGUUUUAUCUUACUGGACUAGCCUGUUUAUCAUCCAGUUCUCUCAGGUUUUGGCCCUUGAAAUAUGGCUUGAAAUACAUACAGACAGACACACAUGCAAGUGCAUCAUGUAUACACAUAUCCACAAACUCAUUUGUAUUGGUUUGGUUCUUCUGGAAAACCUUGAUUAACAUAGGAUUUUCCUGCACAAAUCCUUAUAAUGUGAUGCCUUACUGCCUUCAGAGAGAAGUAUCCAGAAGAAAUUGAAAAAUGAAGGACACUUUUUCAACUAAGUCUUCCAAGUCAUAUAUAUCUCAUAUUUCAGCUUUCUCUGUUUAUUAGAGGAAAUCACUAAAUGUAACAACAGUAAACACGAGAGGAAUUGGUUUUACCUAUUAAUGAAAAUAUUUGCUUUAUAUCUACUCUGGCCCAUUAUGCAAAAUAACUGAGGGUUCUUCUAUGUAUUCUUUAGCUGUGUCCUCUCCACAAGCACCUUUACUGAAUCGAGUCCUUGUUUCUCUAAAUGGUGGGAAGUUGUUGUGCUUUACAGAAUGGAAUCCAUUGCUUUAAACAUACUCUCCAGUUCAUAGGGACAUUCUUGGUAUCAUUGCAUAUAGAUUUAUUGUAUCACAUCUUCAGAGAAGACAUGAACAAAUAUCUUUUCAUCCUUGAUAGAGUACCUGAUGAGGCAAAUGCAUGGCAAGUUUAAAGAAGCAUCUUUUUUUUGUUUUGUUUUUAAGGUUUAUUUAUUUAUUUAUUUAUUUAUUUAUUUAUCUAUCAUGUAUACAGUGCAUUCCAGAAGAGGGCACCAGAUCACAUUACAGACGGUUGUGAGCCACCAUAUUGUUGCUGGGAAUUGAACUCAGAAACUCUGGAAAUGCAGCAGUCACUGCUCUUAACCCCUGAGCCAUCUUUCCAGCCACUAAAGAAGCAUCUUGUUGGGAGGUGGUAUCUCACACCUUUAAUUCCAGAACUUGUGAGGAAGAGUCAGGCGGAUCUCUAUGAGUUCCAUGCCUUCCUGGUUUACAGAGAGAGUUUCAGUACAGCCAUGACUACACAGAGAAACCAUCUCUCAAAAAAAAGGAUAGAUAGAUAGAUAGAUAGAUAGAUAGAUAGAUAGAUUAUAGAUAAGUAACCAUCUUGUUUAUUGAAUAAAGUUGUUAAUUUUUACA